UAAUAACUGGGAGGCAGUGGGUCGGCAGAGUAACAAAGCCCAGUGCUUUCAUGUGGGCCCUGCAGACAGACCUGUGCCCCGUCUGCCCCCGUUCCACUUGAAAGAGAAGGAAUCUGUGUGAAUUGGAAGGAUUUCGUGUGUCUUUCAGCCCCUCGUUUAAAACCGAGCGUGUGACCCCUGCACGGCAAACCUGAGCCCAGCUCCGCUGACCCGCGGCUGAACCCUUGCUGCUCCAGCCCCCGGGAAUGCAGGCGCUGGCUGUGUCCAGCCUGAGUUGCCUUAAACCUUAGAGCCCCUGAAGGCUUUUCCGCUUUUUGUUUUCAGGGUUUGUCUGCGGGCCAGAUGACGGCUUAACUCGGCUGACCUUCCUCCCCCAGCGAGGCUGACACCGGUGCACGAUAUCGAUCCCACUGCGGUACGGGAGGUGCAGGCAGAGCACCGAGAGGCGCUCACCUCCUACCGUGUACCACUGUGAACUCUCAGAAAGUAAAAUUGCUUGCUCAGGAGGCUGAUAGAGUAAAUCAUCAAAAAUACCCGCUGUCCAUUGUGCCUCUUGACAUUCAUUAUGCUGCAGUGUUACUUGUUUUAUUGACUCAUUACAAGGAUAUAAUGCAUUGGGAAGUUAGAAACUUGCCAAGGGAAGUGUCUGCUGUCCCAUAAAUUGUCCGUCUGAUUUUGUAGCACGUUACAUUUAAAGGCAGGUCAUAAUGUUCCCAAUCAGUUACCAAAAGGUAAGCCUUUAACUAAAAGUGACAUGAGUGAGGAGCUGAGGAACUUGCUUCAAAUUGGAGCACUGAAAAUCAGGCCAGUUUGAAUUAACUGCUGGUGGAGCCUAGCUCUGAAAACACUGGCUGCUAUCGUCAAGUUCAAAGCUUGCCUUUUGAAACAGAUCCAGGGAAUGAGCAAGCAUUAAAAUAUUCCAGACAACUCCAGGCUGCUAAUUCAGUGGUGCUGACCCUGCCUGCUCCACUAAGGGGCCUGACACAGCACACGUGCUAUCACCACUGGAUAUGCAUCUGCUUGACUGCAGACAGGUUCUUCAGCUGGAACCAAAUCCACACACUGCGUGUUGUACAAGAGGGAAAUUUGGGAUUGGGAUAAGCAAGGGUCAGGUUUUUUUCCCCUCCAAGUAUUCUUGCAUUGACUGAGUAGGUAACUGUACAAGUAAGAUGGAUUGUAACAGGAGCUGCUUUGAUUUUUGAACAACUGAUUGACCUUUUUCUCCCAUUUAUGAAUCUGAUACAUAUUAAUUUGAUAAUUUCUUUCAGCAAAUUUUUGAGCUGCAGCAUAGAGAGCUGCAGCAAACAUUUGUUUUCUUUAUUGCUUAUUUAUCAAAUGUCAUCAUGCACCAGAGGUCUGCAGGAGCUUAUCACUUCCCAGGGACAAGAUGACUGCAAGAACUUUCUGAUGGGGAACAGUCCGUGCAGUCUUCUGCCUACAAUAAACUUUUUUUUUCCCUGUAUGUGGGCAAAAAGACAGAAUAUCACAGACAUUAAAAAACACAUUGAAGCUCUCAUUGUGUUUAAGCUGCAGUAUAUAUUAGGAUAUGGCAUUUGUCUAAUGAUGAGUCUUAUGGCUGAGGUGUUAAAAAAGAAUUAGUCUAGGCAAUUUAGCCACCAAGCAGCUGCUGAUAUUACCAGAAGCAAGCUGAUUGACUUGUAAGUCUCCAAUUAUAAUCCAUGCUAUAAUUAUGAUUAUACUUCUCCAUAGAGCACUACUGAGCCUCCACCUUUGACUCAUACCAGAUUCCCACUGAAGUCAGCAGGAGCUGUGCUUGAGAUGGGGUUUUCACAGGCAGCACUGUUUGUCCUAAAGUAAACAAGCUGUUCCUGUAAAUUGCUUCCCCAAAAUUGACUGUUUUCUCCUAUAUAUGGUCAUAGAUCUAAUCAGGCACAGAGCUUUACUUUGUUCUGACACAGGAGCAAAGUCAGGUUUAAGGCACUGGUACUCUGGUGCGUCUUCAGACUUGUCCUGCUCUAUAAAAGUCUUAACUUUCACAAGUCUUAACUUAGAGGUUAGCCCAAGUCUCCAUCCAGACUAAUGAAUUAAUUUUUAUUAACUCAGGCUAAUAAUUCAGUAUCAAGAAUGCCCUGGUUGCCUGUAAAUCUUAUUCUCAUUAGUUUUUGUGCAGACAAGUAAAAUGUAUUUAAUUGAUUUAAUCAUCAUGAUUAAAAGGAGGUAAGUAGAUUUAUGCAAGAGGAGUAAAUACUCAGGUUUGCUGUGGAAAGCUUACACAGGAAAAAUCUAUCUUCAUCUCCUACCUUAUUACACACUCAGGAAAACUAUGUAUUGAUCGUGGGUGAAGUUGUGAGUUGUCUGGCCAGCACUACAAGUGAGGAAAGGUACUUUGGAAGCAGAUUUCCAUUUUUGUAGAAAAAGAGGAAACAAAGACCAUAAACCAGGGACAACACGAAACAGCAAAAUUCAUAAGACUAUAAUUAUUCAUGUUAAGAUGCGCAAUGUGAGAAGAGGAUCUUCAUAUUAGGAAGUUUCUGUAAAGGCUAGUCAGACAAAUUGCCCCCAUUAUCUUGAUAAUCACUUUUUUAAGCCAUGAAAAACAUAAAUCUCCCAUCUUGCAGCAGAUCUGUGGAGGUACAAUCCCAUGGGAUUCUGCAUGGCACUACCGGCCUGUUAAAGUCGGUCAGAGGGGGGUGUAGGACUGCCAUCUCUGAUUGUGUUUAAAUGGUCUUCUGUUCUCUUAUUUCUGGGAGGAAUAGGAACUUCACCCUUUUGGUAUUUGUCUGGGACUCAAAGAGCAUGUGGCAGAAGUACAUGGACAUUUCUUUAUUGAGAGUUUUCAGAAAUAUUAUUACAGCUGUCCUUAAACACUAUGUUCUACACUUCCCUGUGUCCUGUAUAGUGCUCUGCUACAUGAUAGCUGUGUAACCUAAAGCCAUACUAGCAUCUUAAGUUUCGACUUUUUAUUACUGGCUCUUUUAAUCUCAGGCUUUUGUUUGUUGUUUGUUUUUACCGCCUCACCUUUCCAAAAUUUGCAUUAUUAAAUACUUAUAAUCAAUUGCUGAAGCAGAAUGAAGACAUCACUCAGAAUGUUCUCCAUUGUAGUGGUGGCUACAGUGUGUUGUUACCCUGUGGUAUUUGAGCUUGUAUACAGGAAUGAUUGCUGUCUCCUCAGAGGGCUGGGGCACAAGGAGCUGUCCUGGUUUUGCAGAGAGUACAAUUUGGCUAUUGGCCAUAACACCACAUAAACCCUGUGGCUUAAGUGGUGUUAGGAGAAAGGCACAGCCUGCCCAUGGUUUCAUAGCAAGUUUGGGGUCUUGCAGUACCAAGGCCCUGAGCCCACACUUUUCACAACGAGCUCAAUGCCUUCACUUGCUAAUCUACAGCCAUGCUCUGCAAGACAGUAGGAGAAGCUCUCUCACUGAGCACUUGUUGGCUUGUUUCUGUUGGGAGGGAUCCUGAAAUUUCAAAAGUCGAGUCAUCAUUUUUUUCUCUGCCUUACUUUCGCAAAAUUAUAAGGCGAGGCUUCCUAAUGUGCAACCACUUGCAAUUGAUCAGGCAGUGACUGUCUGAGAGGAUCUCAGGGAGCUCCUACCUGGAGCCAGGUUAAUCUGCUUUCAAAAUUUCUGUGACCUGCAGCCACGGUGGGGGUGGCAGGAGCCUUUUCAAGAGAAACGAGUGUCAUCUAGUGGUGAAACAAACCCACCCAAUCACACCCCAAGGGCCACCACCUGCCCACCCACUGGUGACAGAUCACUGGGCAACACAUUUUGUUUCUUCCACACUUUAACAGCCUAAUGCAGAAUGUAUGGAGUAAUGCUUCUUUUAGCUUUCAUCCUUGUGGGAUUUCUUUUAUGCAAGCUAAUGGGAAAUAAUAUGAGCCCAUAGCUAAGCAGGCAGCAGACGCUAAUGGCUCUCCUGCUGAGGUUUUUCUGUCCUUGUGAUGAGAUACAGGAAGGGUCUGUCUCCUUGGGAACAGUGACCACCAGCUCCCUACGAAUUAAGUAAGAAUAUUACAGGACAAAGGACUGUUUAAAGCUCUAUUUACUUAUAUUGUAUGUGUCCACUGGACAUCUGCAUUUCAUAGCAAAUUUUUUCCCAAACUCCUUUGCCUUCUUUCACACAUAAAUCCAGAUUUAUUAGCGAAGCAGAGCAUGAACAUAGUAAUUUUCCUGUAGUUGGUCAAAUAAGAAAGGAGAAACAUCUUCUCACCAUGAGCAUCACUAGCAGAGGAGCAUGCAGGGACAGGUGGCUGAGCUGGUAACAAAGUGGAAUGGAGAAAUACUGUCUGGUUAUGUAACAUUUUCCCGUUGUGACUUCCUGGCAGAUCAUGACAGUAACUGUAAAGGAAGAAAUCCAGCUCAAGGUGUUGUGCAGGUCUUCUGAGGGAAAACUGACUCAAUCUAGUCAGCUAGAACUUAUCAUGUAAAAUUACUGCCAGUCAUUGCUCAGUACACAUUUUCAAGUGCAGAAACCUACCUUUCUUUGGAACAAAGGGGAACUAGCAUAUUUGCAGCUGAUGCCAAGGACUUAGACUUAAAAAAAAAUCCCAAGUGCUUCCCAGUUGAGCUGGUGAAUGAAGGAUGUGGCACAACCCAGCCUUAGAGCAGUGGGCAGUGAAAAUCUCAGGAUUUAGUCCCCCUUCUAGGAAGGCUAAAUAAAGGCAUGCCUUGUUUUCCAAAUGGUGCUUUAUCUUCCACCAUUUCCUGCUAGAGUAGGCCUUGGGGAGCCACACCAGGCACGUUUCAUGAUCCUAAGGGUGAAUGCGUGGGGGGAAAGCCUAAUAAAAAGCACCGAAUCCCUUUUGCGAAGCUGCCUGUGUGACACGGCACUGGGCAGGGCGCGGAUCAGCCAGGUAGUCAGGAGCCCUUGGCAAGCCGAGGGCAGCGAAGCAUAUGGGGCUUUCUUUCCCCUGUGUCGCUCUGCGCCCGGAGCCACCGGGGAAAGAGGCUGGGGAGCCUCCGGCUCUCGCUCUGUGCCAGCCCAUCAGCUUCCACCUCCCGCUUCCCGGGAAAGCGCUCCCGGCGGCGCUCACGCUCCGCACUCCCAUUUGCCAGCCCGCCUGCGUCAGCGCUAAUACCGAGCUCAGCUGCUCAUCAUCCCAGCUGAUAAUGUCGCGGGAGGAAUUAGGCAAGGCAUGCUGGUAGGAGGGAGAGAGAGGACUUGAGGGAGAGUAAUCACAGGCACAGUGAUGGGAAAUAAAUGAGAUCAGAAAAACAACCCUCAAACAGGCUAUUCUCAGGCUAGAAGGGAGUGUAUUUUUAGGACAUGGGGCUAUUUCAGUCUCAGCUGUGGGGAGCCACGGGAGACCAGCAGGUCUCCCUAGUAUUUCAGCGGGGUUUGCUUCAAGGCUGAAAUGAGGGAGUUGCCACAGGGCACUUGGCAUUCAGCUGAGUUGCAGAAAAGCUAAAUGGGUGAGCUGAUAGGCUGGAUUGUCCCCUUGCCAACAGAUGAGAUGUGGCAAGAGGCAGGGGAGGGCUCACAGAUGCUACUGCUUCUGCAUGGGCACUGUGCAGUAUUUCCCUCUUCAGAAAAAAGUGGUAAGGUUUUUGCUCACACGGCUUCUGCCUGAGAUUUGGAGCAGACCCCCCAUGGAAAUAGUAUUAAUGAGAAGAGGUCAUACCAUAGUCUGAUAAAACCAUGGGAGGUCCUGGCCAUGCAAGCAGCACUGUUCACUGCAUAGCAGCCAGCUGGAGUCCAGUUCCCAGUAUCUCCCUCGACAGCAGGCAGAGCAGAGUGCUCUGUCAAAAGAAGGCAUACGUUUAAUCAGUUCCUGUGGUGCUGUAAAACUCAAAUUUAAUUUGAAUUCUUUAAAUACACCUUGGCAUUUUAACCACUGCUAGCAGUAGAGUAGUGUUACACUCCUAGUUAUUUCCCUACAGAAUGUCUCUCUUCCCACUGAAAGUCACUAAACAUUUUGAAAACACUGUGGCAAGGUCAAGGAUGUUUUGCAAAAUCUUUAUCUGUGUAACCUAAAUGGACCUGGCAACAGAACAGAUUGUGCUCUGAACUUGGGGGAAAAAGGUGAAAUAUCUCAUCCCCAUUAGUUCUGCUCUGUGUAUGUGGCAGUAAAUUCAGGGUGACUUCCAUCUCCAAAUGGUGCCUGACAUCUGGAGUUUCAGUCCCUGGAUUGUCUGGUUUUGUGUAUCAUGUAGCUGGUUCUCCCAAAAGCCACGAAGUGACCAUUGAAGGAAAGUUUUGUAUCCAGAGCACCAGUCUGGGCCAUCCACAGAGCCACAGACCAGAAUUCUCAGCUUAGAAAACUGCCUUUCAUGGCCACCAGAGAAGAAACAAGUAUGACAGUGCAGAAUGAGUUUUUUUAUAAAUGAGUGUUGUGUCAUGACUAGCACAUCUGGAACCAAAUACUGUAAUCAUUUGUGCCCGUGUUUUGCUCAUUUUUUCUGUGCAUGUGAUUAAUUUUGGACAUAUAUUUUCCACAUCUCCAAAUGUUCAGCAAAGUUCAACACUAAAUUAUUGUUUAACAAUCAAAAAAUUGCUUUCUCACACCUUUUAUUUUCCUUUUUCUUCUUGCUAACUGGCCUCCCGGAGAAACACCAUUAGUGUGAUGCUGGAAUCAAAAGCUUUAGCAAAGAUUUUCAGAGUGACUGAGGGAGAAUUGUCAAGGGAAGAGUGUCUGCAUAUUUGGCCUCAGAAGAUAAGCCCAAAAAGGAGACACCUUGGUGACUGAAUUCUUGGAUGGAUGUGAGAUGAGACAAGAAACAGCUGCUAUUGCAUCCACAAGGACUGAAGCAAAGCCUACCAAGAGGAAUGCAGUGAUGAUGGGACCAUUCUCCCAUUCUCCAUUUUGCAGAAUGAAGAUGUCCAACAGUAACCAGCACAGGGACUUCUGCACAAAGGGACCAGGUUAGGGAGGGUUGUACUUGAGCUUUCUGUCCCAGUGGCUAAUAGUCUUGUCCCUCUCUAAGAAAACUUCAAAUGCCUAAAUAUCCCAAGGUGCAAAAUUUGUUGAAACCUGUGCAUCAUGUCUCUGCCGUGGCACAUCAUGAGAAUCAGUGCUUACAGGUCUAACUGGUGUCCAUUUUUAGACCAGAGGAAAAAUCUUCAAUCUUGGAAGCACUGGGAAGUUUGCAAAACCAAGCCCUACUCAGCUCCAGGCAUUCAUACACUCAUCAGUGCUCACUGCUGUUGUUUCUCUGCCAAUCACCUUACCCAAUGUGAAGAUGUGUCACAACACUGAGCAAACAUGGAAACAGCCACUUUAAUCAAGCAUAUUUUCCCCAUAUGGUAACUUUCCUUUACCAUGGUAGUCCAGCUUUAACACAGAUUUUAUAGAGAGAAAAUUUACAAGCAAUAAAAAUUAACAGCCAGUAUAUAUGCAACAAACAAAUCAACAUCCCCCCCCCCCCCCCCUCCAUAGUGUGUGCCUGAGUGGAUCUAAUUCAAGCUGUGACUAAAUUGUGGUUGCAUUUCCAUGAGAUAUUUUGCCUAAGGAUGUGCAGUGUAUGCAGUGGAUGAUUCACUUCAGUGAGAACCAGACCAGGGCUGACAAGGAAGGAGUUCUGAGGACAAGCACAGAGAAAGAGCCAUAACAGGACAGGAAAGCCACACAAUGAUUGUGUUGCCAUGCCCUUAGAGCAGUAACAGGGCAGGGAAGUGACAGCCUUCAUUCCCAUGUGCCUGUGAAGAACUUCACUGACUCUCUUCAUCUUCACCAAUUCCUCCCCAUAAAGAAAAGAAAGCCCAGAGUAAUGUGGUUGGAUACUGGGAUAGUUCAUGUUUCUAAGCACUCUCUCUGCCUCAGAUUGCCUUACAGUUAGAGCUCCUUCUUCUCCACACACACCUGAAGGACAGUUCUGGGAGCACAUCUUUCCCAGAAGUCUCACGAGGACUGGGGAGCAGGUGCUUGGCUAGAAGUAAUCCUCACAGCUGUCUGGUUCAUGUUUUGUUAAUACAAGCACAUAAUUUCCACUGGGUAGAUUAGAGUAUUAAUGGCAACAGAACAAUAAAUGUCUGUGCAAUCAGCAAUUGACGUCUUGUAUUUGUCAUGCCACCAAAUAUCUUGUUUCCAAAUUAUAGAACAGUUAGUUGUCUGGUGAAUGGAAUUGGGCUGUGAUAAUUUAUAUGUAUGAAUGAUAUUUUAAGACCCACUUGUUUUUGCAUCUUGUUCAAACAUUGCCAGGAUGGAUGUGGGGUAGAUGGAGAAGCAUACAUACAUUCUGUUUUCAGAGAGGCUUCUGUUCUAAUCUUGCAGUGUGACUGAGGGAUCUGUCUCUCCGGGUAUUCAUUUUCAGUAAGACUUGGAAAGGAGAAGACAAACCAAACACAGCACAGCAUCUGAGGACAUAAUGUUUUCAGAGUUGGCUGGCAGUGGUAGUCUGUUGUUCUAUCAAAACAAAGAUGAUGUGACAGCUCUGCCUGUCAGUCUUUGCCCAAAUUUCUCAUUCCUUCCAUUUCUCCUUUUCCAUCAGCAGCAUCACCUCAGUCAAAUUUGGCAAAGGAAGUGAGGGAUAGUAUCUCAGAGAUACUAAGUUCCUGCAGUUUUUGCCAAAGCCAGAAAGAGACCCUGCUGGAGCCCACACUGGGGGAGCGGCCAGUCAUUACAUACACAGCUCCAGGUGCUUCAGUCAUUUGCUGCUUUUUGUCCAAUGAUUUUCUGCUCUUUGCACAAUUGAGAGGCCAAACACCAGUGGGUGGAGUGGGACAAAGGAAGAGCAUGGAGGGAUUAUGGGGGUGCUGGAUGCAGGAGGUAGAGCUCAAAUAAACAGUUGUUUCUAGUGAAUGCAAUGGAAAUACAUUUUAAGAGAAAUGAGGGAGAAGAGGGAGAAAUAGUUAAGGCUCAAACCCAAGGAAAGAUAAGUAUCUACAUUUAAAAUGUUCUCAAUUUUCAAUUCUUUAUUCAACCACGUAAUUAUUUGCUUUGAUAGCAUGCAUUUGACUAAUUUGCAUAAUUUUCUUUAUUAGUAACAGUGAAAGGUGAUCUCAGACUCAGGAGAUGCUUUGCAGCCUGUGGUGAUUCCAUGAUAAGGUGAACUUGCAGUAGCUACUUUACAAUUUGUAUUUUUGUUUUAGUGGGGAUGGGAGAGUACUGUCUCCUCUUAGGGACUUGGGCAGUUUUGAGAGCUAGUGAUAUCUAAUGCCAAGUCAGCAGAGAGGAAUGUUUUAUGGGCAAAUUCAAACAAUUAUCUCCAAGCAUGACAGCAAUGGGAAAAUAUGUAUGACCAUAGGAAAUAUUUAUGGUCCACGAUCAGAAGAAUGUAAAGAUAGAGAAAGCAAGAAUUAUUAUGGCCAGAGCAGUCAGGGGUUACCUGACACUAGUCUGUGGCAACCUAAAUUUUCCUACUUCCAUACUGGUGGGGUUCCUCAUUCUAGCUAAGUUUGCUGGCAUGUUGACUGCUCUGUUCCAUUGUAUAGUGACC